ACGGGUGAGUAACACGUAGGUAAUCCACCCCUAGGACGAGGAUAGCUUCUGGAAACGGAAGGUAAAACUGGAUAGUAUAUAGAAGGGCAUCCUUUUAUAUUUAAAAGAGCAAUCUACCUAGGGAAGAGCCUGCGGCGCAUUAGCCAGUUGGCGGGGUAACGGCCCACCAAAGCGAUGAUGCGUAGCCGGACUGAGAGGUUGAACGGCCACAUUGGGACUGAGACACGGCCCAGACUCCUACGGGAGGCAGCAGUAGGGAAUUUUCGGCAAUGGGCGGAAGCCUGACCGAGCAAUGCCGCGUGAAUGAAGAAGUAUUUCGGUAUGUAAAGUUCUUUUAUUAGGGACGAAAAAACAAAUUGACGGUACCUAAUGAAUAAGCUCCGGCUAACUACGUGCCAGCAGCCGCGGUAAUACGUAGGGAGCGAGCGUUAUCCGGAUUUAUUGGGCGUAAAGGGUGCGUAGGCGGUUUGAUAAGUUCAUGGUGAAAAUGCGGUGCUCAACGCCGUAUGGCUAUGGAUACUGUCUGACUAGAGUGUGGUAGAGGUGAGUGGAACUCCAUGUGUAGCGGUAAAAUGCGUAAAUAUAUGGAAGAACACCAGUGGCGAAAGCGGCUCACCAGGCCAAGACUGACGCUGAGGCACGAAAGCGUGGGGAGCAAACAGGAUCAGAUACCCUGGUAGUCCACGCCCUAAACGAUGAGUACUAAGUGUUGGGGUAACCCAGUGCUGCAGUUAACGCAAUAAGUACUCCGCCUGAGUAGUACGUACGCAAGUAUGAAACUCAAAUGAAUUGACGG
rnacentral:rRNA from 1 species